ACUCCUACGGGAGGCAGCAGUGGGGAAUAUUGCACAAUGGGCGCAAGCCUGAUGCAGCCAUGCCGCGUGUAUGAAGAAGGCCUUCGGGUUGUAAAGUACUUUCAGCANUGAGGAAAGGGUGGGUAUGUUAAUAGCAUAUUCAUUUGACGUUAGCUGCAGAAGAAGCACCGGCUAAACUCCGUGCCAGCAGCCGCGGUAAUACGGAGGGUGCGAGCGUUAAUCGGAAUUACUGGGCGUAAAGCGCAUGCAGGCGGCCUGUUAAGUCAGAUGUGAAAGCCCGGGGCUUAACCUCGGAAUUGCAUUUGAAACUGGCAGGCUAGAGUCUUGUAGAGGGGGGUAGAAUUUCAGGUGUAGCGGUGAAAUGCGUAGAGAUCUGAAGGAAUACCAGUGGCGAAGGCGGCCCCCUGGACAAAGACUGACGCUCAGAUGCGAAAGCGUGGGGAGCAAACAGGAUUAGAUACCCUGGUAGGAUAG
rnacentral:rRNA from 1 species